CACGUAGGGGGCAAGCGUUGUCCGGAUUUAUUGGGCGUAAAGAGCUCGUAGGUGGUUCGGUAAGUCAGGUGUGAAACCUCCAGGCUCAACCUGGAGACGCCACUUGAUACUGCUGUGACUGGAGUCCGGUAGGGGAGCGUGGAAUUCCUGGUGUAGCGGUGAAAUGCGCAGAUAUCAGGAGGAACACCGGUGGCGAAGGCGGGUCUCUGGGCCGUAACUGACGCUGAGGAGCGAAAGCGUGGGGAGCGAACAGG
rnacentral:rRNA from 1 species